rnacentral:lncRNA from 1 species
GCCGUGGACCCUCGUCAUGAAUGUUACAGUUCUUAAAGAUGAAGAGAACAGCAUCAGGGCACAUUGAGGCUCAGAAAUUUAUAUUCCAAGAAGAGGUGCACAGGAACAGAGCAGAUCCAAAGCAGACAACCACCUGGAAGCAGUCAUAACAACAGCAAUAGCAAAUCAAUGCUGAUAAAAGAAAUCAAGUACAGAGAGUUUUAAGGACAUUGUCCAAAGUUGUACAAGGGCACCAUUUUUAAAAGUUGACAACCUCCUGCAGGGAUGUUCUGAAAGACAGAGACAUCUUGUCGGAAUUAUGAAUGUCCUUGGUGGAUGAGGCAGAAAGAGUUGACUGUGUAGGACAUUCCUGACAAGUCCUCAGGAUUU